rnacentral:lncRNA from 1 species
UGGCGGCGGGGCGGGGCGGGCCGGGCGGGCGGAACUGCGCAGCGCCAAGAUGGCGGCGGCCGCGGUCGGAGUCUCCUUGAGGAGCCGAGUCCCCGCGCGGCUCCUGCGCGCCGGGCCGCGGGCGGUGAGGGGCCGCGGCUGGCGAGGGAGGGACGGGAGGCGUGGCACAGGCGGCCGGGGGCUGCAGGGGGCCGGGAUGGGCGUGGGAGGGAAGGGCGGUGAGGUGGGGAGGGGGCUGGAAAUGGAGUGAGGGGGCUGGAAAUUGAGUGUGGGUCUGGAAUUGGAGUGAGGGUCUGGAAUUGGAGUGUGGGUCUGGAAUUGAGUGUGGGUCUGGAAUUGGAGUGCGGGUUUGGAAUUGGAGUGAGGGGUCUGGAAUUGGAGUGAGGGGGCUGGAAUUGAGUGAGGGUCUGGAAUUGUGUGUGGGGUCUGGAAUUGGAGUGCGGGUUUGGAAUUGGAGUGCGGGGUCUGGAAUUGGAGUGAGGGUCUGGAAUUGGAGUGAGGGUUUGGAAUUGGAGUGAGGGGUCUGGAAUUGAGUGAGGGUCUGGAAUUGGAGUGUGGGGUCUGGAAUUGGAGUGUGGGUCUGGAAUUGGAGUGCGGGGUCUGGAAUUGGAGUCUGGAGUCUGGAAUUGAGUGUGGGGUCUGGAAUUGGAGUGCGGGUUUGGAAUUGGAGAGAGGGGUCUGGAAUUGGAAUGUGGGUCUGGAAUUGGAAUGUGGGUCUGGAAUUGAGUAUGGGUCUGGAAUUGAGUGUGGGUCUGGAAUUGGAGUGAGGGUCUGGAAUUGGAGUGUGGGGUCUGGAAUUGGAGUGCGGGGUCUGGAAUUGGGUGAGGGUCUGGAAUUGGAGUGUGGGUCUGGAAUUGGAGUGUGGGUUUGGAAUUGGAGUGUGGGUCUGGAGUUGGAGUGUGGGGGUCUGGAAUUGGGGUGCGGGGUCUGGAAUUGGAGUGCGGGGUCUGGAAUUGGAGUGAGGGGUCUGGAAUUGAGUGUGGGUCUGGAAUUGGGAUGUGGGGUCUGGAAUUGGAGUGAGGGGUCUGGAAUUGAGUGCGGGUCUGGAAUUGAGUGCGGGUCUGGAAUUGGAGUGUGGGUCUGGAAUUGGAGUGAGGGGUCUGAAAUUGAGUGUGGGUCUGGAGUUGGAGUGUGGGGUCUGGAAUUGGAGUGAGGGGUCUGGAAGGGGCUGUGUGGGAACUGGGGGUGGGGGCAGGGCUGGGGAAGUGGCUGGGGGCAGGAGGAGAUGAGGUUAAAGGUGGGAAGAGUGGUGGGAGAAGAGGAGGGAAGGAGAUGUGGG